rnacentral:rRNA from 1 species
UACGUAGGGUGCAAGCGUUGUCCGGAAUUAUUGGGCGUAAAGAGCUCGUAGGCGGUCUGUCGCGUCGGCUGUGAAAACUCGGGGCUCAACCCCGGGCCUGCAGUCGAUACGGGCAGACUAGAGUUCGGUAGGGGAGACUGGAAUUCCUGGUGUAGCGGUGAAAUGCGCAGAUAUCAGGAGGAACACCGGUGGCGAAAGCGGGUCUCUGGGCCGUAACUGACGCUGAGGAGCGAAAGCGUGGGGAGCGAACAGG